rnacentral:ncRNA from 1 species
AUCGAUAACGGCACACCCGGUGCAAGCCGGGGUCGCAAAGCCACGGGGCCCCAGGGGUCAGCCGGGCUACCGAAC